rnacentral:rRNA from 1 species
UGGCGACCGGCGCACGGGUGAGUAAGCGUAUGCAACCUGCCCGAUACCGGGGUAUAGCCCAUGGAAACGUGGAUUAACACCCCAUAGUACUUUUAUCCUGCAUGGGAUGUGAGUUAAAUGUUCAAGGUAUCGGAUGGGCAUGCGUCCUAUUAGUUAGUUGGCGGGGUAACAGCCCACCAAGACGAUGAUAGGUAGGGGUUCUGAGAGGAAGGUCCCCCACAUUGGAACUGAGACACGGUCCAA